UAUUCCUAACCCGUGCCCUAAAGCCUUCCCUCACCGCCGACUUCUCCCCUUCGUUUCCUCUGUGCCACCCUCCGAGGGCUGCAACGGCGUCGGCAGAUCGCCGGCCUCGCUUACCCCGCACCGGCAGAGUCUCCCGAGCCCUCUCCCUCUCACGAUUUCCCCUCUUCACCGUGCCCUAGCCGCCUCUUUUCCUCUCUCGAUCUCACGUAUGUGAUCACGCCGACCACCAUCCGCACCGCCGGGAUCUUUCCCUCUUCUCACCGCAAAUCCUCUUCCUCUGCUGUUGCCGAGUGCGGCCGUCGCCGGAAGGAAGAUCGGCAUCAGCCUCGCGUCUCUGCCCUAGAGUGUCGCAGCCUCCUCGCUGCCCUCCUCCUCACGUGAGCACCACAGCGUCGCCUCCUCUUCACCUCCCUUUUUCCCUUGCAUCCAUAGCCGCCACUUGAUCCUCUACCCGAGCCCUAGAGUCAAGUUGAUUUCGUCGGGCUUUUCUUCGCCGUUUGAGGUGGGUUCUGUCAUCAAGGUAGGUGAGAACCGAUUUGUAGCUCUUAUCUCCGAUUCCAAUAGCAGCAUCACGGUCACAUACUCAUCGGUUGCUUACCUUUGUUUUGACUGUGAGUUUGAUUCUACUUCUACUGCUCAAUUGGUUUGCUGAUUAAGAAGGAGCAGUUCCAUCAUAUCACUGAUGAGGACUUGGGUUCGAGGCGAACGUCUCAACGUGGGGUUGUAUUUGGCACGGUCUACGUAUAAAGGCGGGUACUUCUUGCUUUAUCUCUUUAGUAUUUUGAUCCUAGUGCAUGAGCUUUAUGUUCAGAUAGUUAC